CCUUUCGUAGUUCAAUGGAUAGAACAAGACACUCCUAACGUCUAGAUCCAAGUUCGAUUCUUGGCGAGAGGA
rnacentral:tRNA from 1 species